CGCGGAAGUCGUACGAGGUGCCUGGUGAUCGCUUGCGUACGUCGAGGGGAGCGCCAACUGCUGUUUCCCGGACGUCCCCGGGCGGCCUGGGGGACAGCUGGGGCGUCGCGGUCCGGGGAAGGGAGCGGAAGUCAGCGUCGAAGCCGCGGAAGGAGGGGCGGCUGGCGGAGGCCCCGCAGCCCUUGAGGCCGGUUCAGCUGCACUAAUGACCGAACGCGGUGUGAGGCUGGAGUGUGGCCGCGCGGUGCUUUCUGUAGAAGGCAUUGGCCAAGAGCGCACCUAGCUUCAGGUGCUCGUCUGAAUAGCGGGAGCUUGAUGGCCCGGGGUUCAGUGUGACUCCUCCGAUUCCCCAACCAACCUCUCCAAGGGGCUCCCAAUAUCUGAGAGUGAGGUCUGCAUUUCUGUGGUCCUCAUGUGGGAAACUGUCAGAAGAAGUGAGGGGGAAACUUCCAGGUUAAGGUGUGUGAAUGCGAGCAUGUACCGAGGGACACAGCACUUGAAAGAUAUUUGAUGGUACCAGAAAAGGAUAUGGCAAGCAAGAAUAUUUAAGUUGAAGUCAAGACCUUCCUUCUUGGUGGAGCUUCCCAGAUAAAAAAGGUAUUGGGGGCUAUCCUGCCAGAGAGCAUAGUAAAGACAGAUGGGUAUUUUCCUGGGUUGAUAAAUGUAUUUACCCUGAUCUGCAGGACUAGCUCUCAGAAGUUUACCCCUUUCAAAAUGCCUGUUGUUCACGGAAGAUGUGGCCAGGGAAGGAUGGACCAUCUUUGGCAAAAUAUCUGGGAAUACCUGCCUGCAACUCAGAUGUUUGAAUUCAUCGAUCAAGAUAAAGAUGACUUGAAAUACUUACGGACUAUGUCUAUACCAGUUAUAAUAAAU